UACGUAGGGGGCAAGCGUUGUCCGGAAUUAUUGGGCGUAAAGCGCGCGCAGGCGGUCUUUUAAGUCUGGUGUUUAAGCCCGGGGCUCAACCCCGGUUCGCAUCGGAAACUGGAAGACUUGAGUGUAGGAGAGGAAAGUGGAAUUCCACGUGUAGCGGUGAAAUGCGUAGAGAUGUGGAGGAACACCGAUGGCGAAGGCAGCCUUCUGGGCCAACACUGACGCUCAUGCACGAAAGCGUGGGGAGCAAACAGG
rnacentral:rRNA from 1 species